rnacentral:tRNA from 6 species
GGGGCCGUAGCUCAAUUUGGUUAGAGUACCAGACUGUCGAUCUGGUGGUUGCGGGUUCGAGUCCCGUCGGCCUCGCCA